UACGAAGGGUGCUAGCGUUGUUCGGAAUCACUGGGCGUAAAGCGCGCGUAGGCGGCUUUGCAAGUCAGGGGUGAAAUGCCAAGGCUUAACCUUGGAACUGCCUUUGAAACUGCAAAGCUAGAGUGUCGGAGGGGAUAGCGGAAUUCCUAAUGUAGAGGUGAAAUUCGUAGAUAUUAGGAGGAACACCGGUGGCGAAGGCGGCUAUCUGGACGACAACUGACGCUUAGGCGCGAAAGCGCGGGGAUCAAACAGG
rnacentral:rRNA from 1 species